UACGGAGGGGACUAGCGUUGUUCGGAAUUACUGGGCGUAAAGCGCACGUAGGCGGCUUUGUAAGUUAGAGGUGAAAGCCCGGGGCUCAACUCCGGAAUUGCCUUUAAGACUGCAUCGCUCGAAUCCGGGAGAGGUGAGUGGAAUUCCGAGUGUAGAGGUGAAAUUCGUAGAUAUUCGGAAGAACACCAGUGGCGAAGGCGGCUCACUGGACCGGUAUUGACGCUGAGGUGCGAAAGCGUGGGGAGCAAACAGG
rnacentral:rRNA from 1 species